AAACUGGGAUUAGAUACCCCACUAUGCCUAGCCCUAAACCCAAAUAGUUACAUAACAAAACUAUUCGCCAGAGUACUACUCGCAACUGCCUAAAACUCAAAGGACUUGGCGGUGCUUCACAUCCACCUAGAGGAGCCUGUUCUAUAAUCGAUAAACCCCGAUAGACCUUACCAACCCUUGCCAAUUCAGCCUAUAUACCGCCAUCUUCAGCAAACCCUAAAAAGGAACAAUAGUAAGCACAAUCAUAGCACAUAAAAACGUUAGGUCAAGGUGUAGCUUAUGGGUUGGAAAGAAAUGGGCUACAUUUUCUACAUAAGAAUAUCCACCACACGAAAGUUUUUAUGAAACUAAAAACCAAAGGAGGAUUUAGCAGUAAAUCAAGAAUAGAGUGCUUGAUUGAAUAAGGCCAUGAAGCACGCACACACCGCCCGUCACCCU
rnacentral:rRNA from 1 species